GCGUGCUUAACACAUGCAAGUCGAACGGAAAGGCCAGUGCUUGCACUGGUACUCGAGUGGCGAACGGGUGAGUAACACGUGGGUGAUCUGCCCCGCACUUCGGGAUAAGCCUGGGAAACUGGGUCUAAUACCGGAUAGGACCACUUCUUGGAGGUUGUGGUGGAAAGUUUUUUCGGUGUGGGAUGAGCUCGCGGCCUAUCAGCUUGUUGGUGGGGUAAUGGCCUACCAAGGCGUCGACGGGUAGCCGGCCUGAGAGGGUGUACGGCCACAUUGGGACUGAGAUACGGCCCAGACUCCUACGGGAGGCAGCAGUGGGGAAUAUUGCACAAUGGGCGCAAGCCUGAUGCAGCGACGCCGCGUGGGGGAUGACGGCCUUCGGGUUGUAAACUCCUUUCGCUAGGGACGAAGCGCAAGUGACGGUACCUAGAGAAGAAGCACC
rnacentral:rRNA from 1 species